rnacentral:rRNA from 1 species
ACAGCAGUAGCCGCGGGAAUACGAAGGGGGCUAGCGUUGUUCGGAAUCACUGGGCGUAGAGGGUGCGUAGGCGGGAUCUUAAGUCAGGGGUGAAAUCCCGAGGCUCAACCUCGGAACUGCCUUUGAUACUGGGGUCCUUGAGUCCGGAAGAGGUGAGUGGAACUGCGAGUGUAGAGGUGAAAUUCGUAGAUAUUCGCAAGAACACCGGUGGCGAAGGCGGCUCACUGGUCCGGAACUGACGCUGAGGCACGACAGCGUGGGGAGCAAACAGGAUUAGAUACCCGCGUAGUCCCUGUCUCUUAUAC